GACGAACGCUGGCGGCGUGCUUAACACAUGCAAGUCGAACGAUGAAGCCGGAGCUUGCUCUGGUGGAUUAGUGGCGAACGGGUGAGGAACACGUGAGUAACCUGCCCUUGACUCUGGGAUAAGCGUUGGAAACGACGUCUAAUACCGGAUACGAGCUAGGACCGCAUGGUCACUAGCUGGAAAGAACUUCGGUCAAGGAUGGACUCGCGGCCUGUCAGUUAGUUGGUGAGGUAACGGCUCACCAAGACGACGACGGGUAGCCGGCAUGAGAGGGUGAGCGGCCACACUGGGACUGAGACACGGCCCAGACUCCGACGGGAGGCAGCAGUGGGGAGUAUUGCACAGUGGGCGCAAGCCUGAUACAGCAACGCCGCGUGAGGGACGACGGCGUUCGGGUGGUAAACCUCUUUUAGCAGGGAAGAAGCGCAAGUGACGGUACCUGCAGAAAAAGCACCGGCUAACUACGUGCCAGCCGCCGCCGUAACAC
rnacentral:rRNA from 1 species